UUCUCUGGAAAAGAGACGUGAACUGCACCUUCAUAAUCUCCCUUCUAUAAGCCAGGAGCCAGCUGGUAAACACUUAAUACAUAGUUGAACACUGCACACCUGUGUUUCUAUUGACUUUUAAGGAGAAUGAAGUGAAGAGGAAAUGUAUUCCUGACAGAGCUGGUACUCUGAUCUCCUACUGCAGGGAGUAAUCAACCAAUAACUUGGUAUUAGCCAACUGCCACUGUUUGGUGUUUUAAGAGAAGAGGAUGCUGGGAUGGAGUGUGAGACCAGAAGCGUUAUCAUGCAGCGAUAAAGUGCAGAGGUCCAUAGCCAAAGAGCUGCUCUACAAGCAUGGGUGGAGUCCUCGGUAGCGGACAGCAGCGUGCCAUGUUCACUGCCACAUGCUGUCACCACCAGCGGGCUGCUGACAGAUCCAGCCUUGAAAGCAAACUGUCAAGGAAGGAGCUUGAGUUACAGGAAAUGGACUUCUGUCUUCCCAUGGAUCUUUGGAUCUGUUUUUACUUCCCUCCCUGCCUCGUUCUUCUCUUCUGCUUGAUCUGACAAUCAUGAUAAUGUCUUGAACACCUGGUGCUGUGGAAGCUCUUCUGAUGUCAUCUGACAAGCACGUGAAAUGAUGAGGUUGGUGCCAUAGUUCAGACCUUAAAUAAAGGUCUUUCUGGGAACCUGAGCUGAUUUUUU
rnacentral:lncRNA from 1 species